GUGUCAGCCGCCGCGGUAAUACGUAGGGGGCAAGCGUUGUCCGGAAUUAUUGGGCGUAAAGCGCGCGCAGGCGGUUUUCUAAGUCCGAUGUGAAAGCCCACGGCUCAACCGUGGAGGGCCAUUGGAAACUGGAAGACUUGAGUGCAGGAGAGGAGAGCGGAAUUCCACGUGUAGCGGUGAAAUGCGUAGAGAUGUGGAGGAACACCCGUGGCGAAGGCGGCUCUCUGGCCUGUAACUGACGCUGAGGCGCGAAAGCGUGGGGAGCAAACAGGAUUAGAUACCCUGGUAGUCCACGCCGUAAACGAUGAGUGCUAGGUGUUGGGGGUGACCAAUCCUCAGUGCCGCAGCUAACGCAAUAAGCACUCCGCCUGGGGAGUACGGCCGCAAGGCUGAA
rnacentral:rRNA from 1 species